GGGUCCGGACACACUGAGGAUUGACAGAUAUACGCUCAUUGCAGUUCGCUGCAUGAGCUGAAAGAUGCUAGUUCUUUCAUGAUUAUGUGAUAGGUGGUGCAUGGCCGUUCUUAGUUCGUGGAGUGAUCUGUCUGCUUAAUUGCGUAUCAAUAAUAGAGACCUAGUAUACGCGUGGAUUUCGCGUGGUAGUGACCCCCUGUUUAACGACAGGCGUGUGUCGCGCACGCGUACCUACGCACUGGUCUCAGAUAGCAACGAACGUGACCGUAUUCUAUUGUUGCAGUGAAAUGUGCCUUCUGGGUACGACCCACUGCUUAGUAUAUGUACGUGCUUCGGCGCGAACAAUAUACAUUAAACUAUAGAGACCGCUGUUUCUUCUUUAAACCAGAGGAAGGAUACGGCAAUAACAGGUCUGUGAUGCCCUCAGAUGUUCCGGGCUGCACACGUGCUACAAUGAUCAUUGCACUGUGCAUCUAACCCAAUGUGCGCGGACGCCGCAUGCAUGUGCUCUUCACGGAGUACACGCAUUGCUGUUGCGACCGCGCCGAACCUACUUCGAAAGUAAAAUUUCUCAGUGGGU
rnacentral:rRNA from 1 species